GUGGGAGCCGUGGAGGGAACUUUCCCAGUCCCCGAGGCGGAUCCGGUGUUGCAUCCUUGGAGCGAGCUGAGAGCUCGAGGUGAGCUGGGCUCGCGGUCGCCCCUCUCGCGCGCCCUCUUUAAGAACCACGGCGUCCAACCUCCCUGGAAAUGGGGGGAACAUGGCCGAGGCGCGUGGCGAGGCCGCCUCGUGGAGGCCCCGGAGCGGCAUCCUCAGCGCCCCAGCGAUCCGGUGCCCAUUAGGUGCGCCUUGAAGCCGAGUACAGAACCUGCUAAGGCCAUCAAACCUAUUGAUCGGAAGUCAGUCCAUCAGAUUUGCUCUGGGCCGGUGGUACCGAGUCUAAGCACUGCGGUGAAGGAGUUAGUAGAAAACAGUCUGGAUGCUGGUGCCACUAAUAUUGAUCUAAAGCUUAAGGACUAUGGAGUGGAUCUCAUUGAAGUUUCAGGCAAUGGAUGUGGGGUAGAAGAAGAAAACUUCGAAGGCUUAACUCUGAAACAUCACACAUCUAAGAUUCAAGAGUUUGCCGACCUACCUCAGUGAUGUCACCAUUUCUACCUGCCAUGUAUCGGCGAAGGUUGGGACUCGACUGGUGUUUGAUCACUAUGGGAAAAUCAUCCAGAAAACCCCCUACCCCCACCCCAGAGGGAUGACAGUCAGUGUGAAGCAGUUAUUUUCUACGCUACCUGUGCACCAUAAAGAAUUUCAAAGGAAUAUUAAGAAGAAACGUGCCUGCUUCCCCUUCGCCUUCUGCCGUGAUUGUCAGUUUCCUGAGGCCUCCCCAGCCAUGCUUCCUGUACAGCCUGCAGAACUGACUCCUAGAAGUACCCCACCCCACCCCUGCUCCUUGGAGGACAACGUGAUCACUGUAUUCAGCUCUGUCAAGAAUGGUCCAGGUUCUUCUAGAUGAUCUGCACAAAUGGCUCCUCUCCUCCUUCCUGAUGUCUGCCAUUAGCACUGGAAUAAAGUUCCUGCUGAAAAUCCA
rnacentral:lncRNA from 1 species